GCCAGGCACUGUAGCUCACGCCUAUAAUCCCAGCAGCUGGGAGGCUGAGACAGGAGGAUCAUGAGUUCAAAGCCAGCCUCAGCAAAGGCUGGUGAGGUGCUAAGCAACUCAAUGAGACCCUGUCUCUU
rnacentral:sRNA from 1 species